UACGGGGGGGGCAAGCGUUAUCGGGAAUUACUGGGUUUAAAGGGUGCGUAGGCGGCUUGAUAAGUCAGCGGUGAAAGCCCGCAGCUUAACUGUGGAACUGCCUUUGAUACUGUCGAGCUUGAAAGAGGUUGAGGACAGCGGAACGUGAAAUGUAGCGGUGAAAUGCAUAGAUAUGUCAAAGAACACCGAUUGCGAAGGCAGCUGGCUGGACCUAUUUUGACGCUGAGGCACGAAAGCGUGGGGAGCGAACAGG
rnacentral:rRNA from 1 species